rnacentral:lncRNA from 1 species
GUGCUUGAUAAAUCUUCUGAAUCCACAGAAGAUGAGGGAAAAACACUGGAAUCCACCAGAAAAUACAAGAGAAGAGAAAGAGAAGAUAGAAGGUUUAUUACCUGUCCAGGAAAUAACAACUUUAACAAAUAAAUCAAAAACUGUCAAUUCCAUCCUCUAUCCUCCAUAUAUAUACUCUCCAUGUAAUGAUGGGCCUUCUUUAAAGGAAAUGGGUUAUUGGUCCAUGUUUGAUUUAAAGGAAAUGGCCUCUUUCCUAGUGCCAUUAUGGAUGUGCUACAUCAGGCACCCCUUCUUUAAGUACAAUUGCCCUCAAUUGUUGCUCUGGAUGACAUUUCUCCUCCAUUUUCAGCUUGUCUUUCUUGAUGCUAUCCACUCGAAUGAUGUAGUGGUUCGAUCGUCCCUUGUGAGUGGCAUCAAUAUCUCACCAUCAAGGUCUGCCCGGAUCAGGUGGAAAACGUCUUCUCCAAUCUGUUGUAAAAAUUGUAGUAGGUCUACUGAAUUCUUUGCCCAGCCACGACUUCAACCAUUCAGUGAUAGAAACAACAGCAUGAUCCCUCCCAUUUGUGUGCCAUUAAGCCUUUCAUGUCCAUCCAAAUAUUAGUAAAGUAGCUGAUACCAACAUGGUCUUUGGGAAGGGAUCGUCUUUCCUGUUCAUUCCUUUCCAAUAUAGCGAGCUCACUUCCAGCAAUCACACUGCUUAUGCACCUUGCCAAGCAGUGUAUAUUAUCAUUAAACCCACUAAUGUUUACAUCAUAAGAAGCCGUGUUCCAGAUAUUGGAUGCUAUAAAUGCAGCACAUAAACAAGGAAAUGGACUCCAGGAACUAUCACUUAAACCAACCUUUGACAUAGUUGAAUAAAUGCACUCUGUAUCAUGGUCCUCUAUCACUCCAAUGUCAUUGGCCACUGUCCUCAGCCUUUUUAUUUCAUCUUUUUCAGAAAUCUCGUCACUUAACUGCUUCACAACUCCAGAAAGCAGUGAAACAAACAAAGGAGCUUUCUCUUCUAGGAUCGCUUUAGCAGAUUCUACCAGCAAGCAUCGAAAGGUUAAGACAUGUCCAACCUGGAUGCAAAAUCCAAUCACUGUUUCAAUGUCCAGAAUUUGCUUCAAAUUUGUUUCUCUUUCUACUUUUCCACAGGAAUUAAUAUUCUUAGAAAUUGCCUCAAGUGCAUGAUGAUUAGACCAUAGACUAGUUUCAAUGGAGUUUAAAAGUGAAACAGCAUUUUUUCUCACCAUUCUAUCUAGUGUAUCAAAUCCAUAGCCACCAAAAAUAUGAAAUAUGCUUUUCAAUUCUCUUAUAUUAGUAAAUGCCUCUGCAGUAUUACCUUCAAAAGCCUUAGAGCUCUUGAAACCAUAUGCUUGAAACAGUUAUGAAAGGGUACGAAAUAGACAUCAGCACCAAUUGUAUCUUUUACGAUAUUCUCAAUGUACCAAUUGCAAACAAUUUCUAACGCAGAUCCACUAUUUUGAUCUGCAAUGUUAACAUUUUGUUGCAAAGAAGAAACUGGGCCCAAAAAUAUUUCAGACAAUAAGAUAUCUCGAAUACCCUCUGUCAGAUCCAUGCUGAUGUGUUGUUCUGCUAGAUGAAUGAUUCUAAUAUGCCUUCUAAUCAGAGAUUCUACAACAGAAGGGCGUUGAAGGCAGUUUUCUAUUCUCAGUACCAUAAGAAGCCUCUUCCUAAAAUUGGCAAGAAAGCAGUCCCUCAUGUACUCCCGUAGAACAAAUACAUGAUUCAGAACACGUAUUGGCUCCAUGUCAUUCAAAACCGAGCACAGACUUGUUAGUCUUUGUGUUGCAGCUUCUAACACUUUCACAGAAAUAUUGCCAGACCGACAACUCUCAUAUCCAGGUAAGCCAUGAACACCUUUGGUUGAUUUUACAGAACUGGUGGAAACUUUGCUUGCUUGAAUCAUACGAAUAACUGCUUAGUCUGGAUGAAGCUGCAUCUCUAGAGAAGCAAAUCCACUGUCUGAAUCUAAGGUAUUGACCAGACCUUCCAAACCACCCAUUAUGGAUUCAAUUAAUGGUUCAACAUAAUACAAAGAGUCUCGACCUAUUUUAUUUAACUGAAUCUUAUGAUUGAAUGCAACCAAUAACUUUCCAUUGCAAGCAUUUAAUGAGUAAACAGCCCCUUUAGCUUCCCUUGAAAAAAUCUGGACAGUUUUGUCUGUCCACAUUCCAACAGUUUUAUUUAACUUCUCGAUACUGAUUUCCGGAUAGGCCAAAUGCUUACCACCAGUGGUUACUGAAAUCUUUCCUUCCGGUUUUUUAAAACAGCUCACGUCUUCCAUCUUGCUACUGCUUUGAAGUAACCUCUCCAAAUCAUAUAAUCGGGCUUCAGCAACAGCUACCUUUUUUCCAGCAAUAGAGACAGCACGCACUGAAUCAGAUAUCUCCCCAUAUAGCUUCCUUGAAAGAUCUUCAGAUGCCUGUAGCGAAUCAGAGCUUUCCUGAAAUUUUCUUUGAUAAUCUAUCGCCUCAUUUCUUGACUUUGUUAACUCUUCUUCAAGAGACUUAUUACGUUGUGCAAGGUUAUUUAGUGUAACCUUUGCAGAUUCAUGAUCUGAGAUAAUUUGUUCUAAGUCAUACCUUUCCUCUGCAAGUAACUUCACCUCCUUGCGUAAACACCGCCGAUCAGAUUUUAGGAGUUUGAUCUCCUUGGUCUUUUCGUCCAACUCCAUUUCCAGGAAGUCAACAAAAUCUUCAAGCUCUGCGUUCUUCCUAAUCAUCCUCUCCCAAUCCCAAGCGAGACUGCCCUUGUACUGCCGGGAAUGUUGAAGUCGUACCUCCAUUGCAGAAUUGGAUUGCUUCAAGCCUAGAAGUUGAAGCUUUUUUUUGAUCUUGCACUGUUCUGGCGAUGAACAGUACCUCGCCGGCAAACACUGUUCCGACGAUGAACAGUACUCGUCGAUAAACAGUGUUUUGAGGGUGCCCUAGUUCUGAUCCUUUUUUCUUAAGAUUUCCUCACACUGUCUUCAAACUCUACCGAUCGUUUCCCCUUGAUUAUUUUUUUUGAUCUGAGGAGAAGAUUGGCUCUGAUACCACCUGAUGCAGCUGAUCUUAGUGAAGAUCAGGUGCUUGAUAAAUCUUCUGAAUCCACAGAAGAUGAGGGAAAAACACUGGAAUCCACCAGAAAAUACAAGAGAAGAGAAAGAGAAGAUAGAAGGUUUAUUACCUGUCCAGGAAAUAACAACUUUAACAAAUAAAUCAAAAACUGCCAAUUCCAUCCUCUAUCCUCCAUAUAUAUACUCUCCAUGUAAUGAUGGGCCUUCUUUAAAGGAAAUGGGUUUUUGGUCCAUGUUUGAUUUAAAGGAAAUGGCCUCUUUCCUAGUGCCAUUAUGGAUGUGCUACAUCAG